AUUGAACGCUGGCGGCAGGCCUAACACAUGCAAGUAGAACGAGUGGCAGCCGGGUGAGUCCUGACUGGGAAGCUGCCCGAGGGAGGGGGAUAACUACUGGAAACAGUAGCUAAUACCGAAUAACCUCGGCUGGGCCCAGACGGGAUUAGCCAGUAGGUUGGGUAACCGCUCACCUGGGCGACGAUCCCUAGCUGGUCUGGGAGGAUGCCCAUCAACACUGGAACUUAGACACGGCACAGACUCCUACGGGAGGAAGUAGUGGGGAAUAGUGCACAAUGGGCGCAAUCCUGAUGCAGCCAUGCCGCGUGUAUGAAGAAGGCCUUCGGGUUGUAAAGUACUUUCAGCGAGGAGGCGGUACUCGCAGAAGAAGCACCGGCUAAAUCCGUGCCAGCCGCCGCGGUAAUUC
rnacentral:rRNA from 1 species